rnacentral:tRNA from 1 species
GAGGGUAUAGCUCAGUGGUAAAACUCAUGCUUAGCAAGCAUGAGGUCCUGGGUUCAAUCCCCAGUACCUCCA